rnacentral:rRNA from 1 species
AUUGAACGCUGGCGGCAGGCCUAACACAUGCAAGUCGAGCGGAUGAAGGGAGCUUGCUCCUGGAUUCAGCAGCGGACGGGUGAGUAAUGCCUAGGAAUCUGCCUGGUAGUGGGGGAUAACGUCCGGAAACGGGCGCUAAUACAGCAUACGUCCUGAGGGAGAAAGUGGGGGAUAUUCGGACCUCACGCUAUCAGAUGAGCCUAGGUCGGAUUAGCUAGUUGGUGGGGUACAGGCCUACCAAGGGAACGAGCCGUAACUGGUCUGAGAGGAUGAUCAGGCACACUGGAUCUGAGACUCGGUCCCGACUCCUACAGUGGGCAGCAGUGGGGACUAUUAGACGAUGCGGCAGAGCCUGAUCUAGCCAUGCCGCGUGUGUGAAGAUGGUCUUCGGAUGGUUAAGCACUUUAAGUUUGGAGUAAGUGCAGUACUUUAAUACCUUGCUGUUUUGACGUUACCAACAGAAUAAGCACCGGCUAACUUCGUG